GGUUAAGUGACUAAGCGUACACGGUGGAUGCCUGGGCAGUCAGAGGCGAUGAAGGACGUACUAACUUGCGAUAAGCGCAGAUAAGGCAGUAAGAGCCGUUUGAGUCUGCGAUUUCCGAAUGGGGAAACCCAACUGCAUAAGCAGUUACUGUUAACUGAAUACAUAGGUUAACAGAGCAAACCGGGGGAACUGAAACAUCUAAGUACCCCGAGGAGAAGAAAUCAACCGAGAUUCCGGUAGUAGCGGCGAGCGAACCUGGAUUAGCCCUUAAGCACUCGGUGAAGUAGGUGAACAAGCUGGAAAGCUUGGCGAUACAGGGUGAUAGCCCCGUAACCGACGCUUCAUCGAGCGUGAAAUCGAGUAGGGCGGGACACGUGAUAUCCUGUCUGAAUAUGGGGGGACCAUCCUCCAAGGCUAAAUACUCCUGACUGACCGAUAGUGAACCAGUACCGUGAGGGAAAGGCGAAAAGAACCCCUGUGAGGGGAGUGAAAUAGAACCUGAAACCGUGUACGUACAAGCAGUAGGAGCACCUUCGUGGUGUGACUGCGUACCUUUUGUAUAAUGGGUCAGCGACUUAUAUUCAGUGGCAAGGUUAACCGUAUAGGGGAGCCGUAGCGAAAGCGAGUCUUAACUGGGCGCUCAGUCUCUGGAUAUAGACCCGAAACCGGGUGAUCUAGCCAUGGGCAGGUUGAAGGUUGAGUAACAUCAACUGGAGGACCGAACCGACUAAUGUUGAAAAAUUAGCGGAUGACUUGUGGCUAGGGGUGAAAGGCCAAUCAAACUCGGAGAUAGCUGGUUCUCCCCGAAAGCUAUUUAGGUAGCGCCUCGGACGAAUACUACUGGGGGUAGAGCACUGUUAAGGCUAGGGGGUCAUCCCGACUUACCAACCCUUUGCAAACUCCGAAUACCAGUAAGUACUAUCCGGGAGACACACGGCGGGUGCUAACGUCCGUCGUGGAGAGGGAAACAACCCAGACCGCCAGCUAAGGUCCCAAAGUAUUGCUAAGUGGGAAACGAUGUGGGAAGGCUCAGACAGCUAGGAUGUUGGCUUAGAAGCAGCCAUCAUUUAAAGAAAGCGUAAUAGCUCACUAGUCGAGUCGGCCUGCGCGGAAGAUGUAACGGGGCUAAGCAAUACACCGAAGCUGCGGCAAUGUCUUUUA
rnacentral:rRNA from 1 species